rnacentral:rRNA from 1 species
UCCUGGCUCAGAUUGAACGCUGGCGGCAGGCUUAACACAUGCAAGUCGAGCGGAAACGAUGGUAGCUUGCUACCAGGCGUCGAGCGGCGGACGGGUGAGUAACACUUAGGAAUCUACCUAGUAGUGGGGGAUAGCUCGGGGAAACUCGAAUUAAUACCGCAUACGACCUACGGGAGAAAGGGGGCAGUUUACUGCUCUCGCUAUUAGAUGAGCCUAAGUCGGAUUAGCUAGAUGGUGGGGUAAAGGCCUACCAUGGCGACGAUCUGUAGCUGGUCUGAGAGGAUGAUCAGCCACACCGGGACUGAGACACGGCCCGGACUCCUAUGGGAGGCAGCAGUGGGGAAUAUUGGACAAUGGGCGACAGCCUGAUCCAGCCAUGCCGCGUGUGUGAAGAAGGCCUUUUGGUUGUAAAGCACUUUAAGCAGUGAAGAAGACUCCAUGGUUAAUACCCAUGGACGAUGACAUUAGCUGCAGAAUAAGCACCGGCUAACUCUGUGCCAGCAGCCGCGGUAAUACAGAGGGUGCAAGCGUUAAUCGGAAUUACUGGGCGUAAAGCGAGCGUAGGUGGCUUGAUAAGUCAGAUGUGAAA